rnacentral:rRNA from 1 species
GUCAUAUGCUUGUCUCAAAGAUUAAGCCAUGCAUGUCUCAGUACAAGCCAAAUUAAGGUGAAACCGCGAAAGGCUCAUUAAAUCAGUUAUGGUUCCUUAGAUCGUACCCACACUUACUUGGAUAACUGUGGUAAUUCUAGAGCUAAUACAUGCAAACAGAGCUCCGACCGGAGACGGAAGGAGUGCUUUUAUUAGAUCAAAACCAAUCGGUGGCGGGUUCGCUCGUCAUCGUACAACUUGGUGACUCUGAAUAACUUUACGCUGAUCGCACGGUCAUCGCACCGGCGACGCAUCUUUCAAAUGUCUGCCUUAUCAACUGUCGAUGGUAGGUUCUGCGCCUACCAUGGUUGUAACGGGUAACGGGGAAUCAGGGUUCGAUUCCGGAGAGGGAGCCUGAGAAACGGCUACCACAUCCAAGGAAGGCAGCAGGCGCGCAAAUUACCCACUCCCGGCACGGGGAGGUAGUGACGAAAAAUAACGAUACGGGACUCAUCCGAGGCCCCGUAAUCGGAAUGAGUACACUCUAAACCCUUUAACGAGGAUCAAUUGGAGGGCAAGUCUGGUGCCAGCAGCCGCGG